UACGGGGGGGGCAAGCGUUGUUCGGAAUUACUGGGCGUAAAGGGCUCGUAGGCGGCCAACUAAGUCCGACGUGAAAUCCCCAAGCUUAACUUGGGAACUGCAUCCGAUACUGGAUGGCUUGAAUCCGGGAGAGGGAUGCAGAAUUCCAGGUGUAGCGGUGAAAUGCGUAGAUAUCUGGAGGAAUACCGGUGGCGAAGGCGGCAUCCUGGCCGAGUACUGACGCUGAGGCACGAAAGCGUGGGGAGCGAACGGG
rnacentral:rRNA from 1 species